AUCAUUUUUAAAAAGUAAAAUAGUUCACUAGGCUUUGGGUGUGUUUCUCUUUAAUUAGUUUGAUGAGCACAAAGUCUGAGGCCUUGUCAAAUACCCAGUAUUAACUUUGGAUACUGACCCAGAAGUGGAGCAUUGCAGAGGUAAGAGCAUGGGCAGGAGAAAAUCAGUAAGAUGUUUCCUGUAAAAGCCUUUUGCCAGACAAGAGGAAUCAUUACCACGAUGAUACUUCUAAUUAUAAUGUCAUUAGGGCACCACUGCAGGUUCCUAUGGCGCAUGAAGUUUUUCAGCAUCUUGAUCCAAAAUGGGCAAAAUAUAGGCAUUAACCCUUUCACUGGAAGUAGACUUGAAUAUCUAGGCAAGCUGAAAGAACACAACUUAUUUUGAAGUUAAGUCAUAGUAUUGCUGAGUGUUCUGGAAAAUUUAGCAGUUGUAAAGAAUACUGAAGAGUAAUUCCCCUGAUCCUUCUGCAUUCAUGCCGGAUGUCACAGAUGGACAAUUGAUGAUAUGUGUUUCUCAAGACACCAAAAAGGUAAAGAUAAUGUACUUUGUUGCUGAUCUAAUUUUUGUCUGACUGGAAAACAGGAGGCGAAGUUUCUGGCACAAAGUUGUUGCCCAAACCUUUGAAGAAUAGCCAAGAGCAGAUAACAAACAGGCCUACAGACAAUAUUGCUCAAAGUCACAUUCAACUCCUUAAGCAGCUGUUCAAUCUGUGAAGUGAAAAAUUCUUCUAUUUUUGUGUAAUUUUCAAACUGCUGAUGAUACUAUAACAUAUUCUCUCGGCUUUUCUCUUUGUUUAGGCAGCCUGGAUUUAUACCUUCAAAUCUUGGCUCUAGGAUGGUUCCAAAAGCACAAUCAUGCAUGCAGAUACCACCAAACAUGUCAAAAAUGUUAUGCUAUUAAAUGCUAUGAUAAAACCUUCUACUUAGUGCUACAGUGCUUCUAGAAUUUGUCUUACAGGUCCAAGUUGAUCUUGCCUGUAACUGACAUGUAAAGGAACGUUUCAUGGCUUUGCGCAGUGCUGACACUGUGUUUGUGUUGCUCUGGACUGAGUCUAGCUCCUGGUUUGCUCUUCAGGAGUCAGACAGUUAAACCACAAGCCAACUCUGCCACUCUGGAACAAAAUAACAUCCUCUUCAGUGUUUCAGGAUUUACAGAAUGUUAAAUGGGCACAGCGUUCCCCCAGAAUCCCAACCCAGUAGGGUGUUCCCAGGCAGGGGCUACUCCAAGCUUAGGCGUGCAUAGGAGAUCCCAGAUUAGAAGCCUACUGCCAGAGAUACCUUGAGGAAGGGGAUUUUGAGCACUGCGUUAUGCCUUAGGCAGACAGCGUGAAUGAUGGGAUGUCCAGUUUUCCAAUGGACAAAAUUGCACAGGGCAGGUAGAUCAGAGUAACAGAUACCAUGACAACCAAAUACGUUCAAAGCAAAAGGACAAAAGACAAGAGAGGAAUUUUAAAGGGGGAGGAGGCAGCAAUAACGUUAUUAAUAUAUCCCUGUGUUCUGAAGGAGUGGCUUUUUUUGUGAAACUCAGCAAGUUGUGACCCUGAGCAGUGCCACUGCCGUAGCGCAAUCUGCGUGGUACAAAGUUGGGAUGUGGCAUGAAGAUUUUGUGAAUUCCAGAAGCUCCUCUUUGAUGACUAAGUAGUUAUUAGCUCUUUGAGACUGAGUACCAUUUGGGUAAUUGGCAAGUGGACUGUGACCUGAAGGAUUGAUAAACUGGAGGGAAAUCAUUCAAAAUUCUUUUCAGUUUUCCUCCAUACUGCUUUUGUUUCAUGUUCAGACAACUCAAUCUAAAACAUGAAACGUUAUUUUCAGAAGAGCAAUCAUAAUUGGCAUAAUUUGAAGAAAAAAAAAACUAGUAGCACUUGCUAAUAUGGGCAGAAUUCAAUUAAUAAAACACCACAUACUGUGGCUGGUUUGUUUCUAAAAUACACUUAUGUAAUUUAAAAGACAAAUGUGUUGUCUGUGGUGGUCAUUAUUUUAAAGACAGCAGGGUUUAUCCCUUACAUCCCAUUUUUUAAUCUGUGGUUUUAUUGACACUUUGAAAGCUAACAGCCUAGCAGGUUGUUCCUAGGUAGGAAUUCUACCCAAAAGAACAGUUUGUAGAACUGUACUCAUUUAACUGACAUUACAAAGUUGUCCUGCACAUGCAAAAAAAGAACUUUUCACAUGAUGUGAGAAAGACUCUACACCUGUGAUAAUGAAGAACACUUCCCAUUAGCAAUGUAAGUAUGUAGAUUUGUCGUUACUUAUUCAGAAAUCAGCCUGCAGGCCCAAGAUGACCUGCUCUUCACCUCACCAAUCCCGCUCCUGCUGCAUCUCACAUGAGGUAGGUGCACUUCUAUUUCAACCCUAAAAGUGGGACUGUUCAUCUUUCUGAAUCAGCUACAUGGGCUGAGUCCUUCUCUUCCACUGCACCAAAUCCUUGCAGGGACGUGUUUUCAGGUGAGCUUUAUUAUUCAGUGUGCACCUUUAUAAGGUUCUGGAAGGCAAAGCUCUCAGGCCACCUUACUCGUUUUUGCAUAGUACCAAAGAGUGUUUUUUGAAAGCCUUUUAGGAUCAGCUUUUUUCUUGGAGUGGUGUCAAUCAUCAAGAAUUUUUAAAUAUUUUACCUAACCAACUACUACUUAUUCCUUUUGAAAGAAAAUCAAAUGAUUACAUGCAACCCUGGCCAUUUUGCGCUCGCAUAUCCCUACCUUAUCUCUGCUCCAUAAAGCACCCAGAAGAUGUGUGUGGGCUCUGCUCUGCUCCUCCCUUUCACUGCCCACUGAGGGACUUCAAGCAUUAAAGAGCUGUCCUGGUGCACACCCACCUCCGGACAUGGAGAGGAAAUCCCAAGUGAGUACUUUAGGAUAAGUACCCUGAGAUGGUCUUUGGUUGGCUUUGGUUUUCAUACAUUUGUGACAUGAAAUCACCUAAAAACGUAACUUUGCAGUUUAGAUAGAUCUUUGAUGGAAAAAAUGUUUCAGUUAACCUCAUGUAUAAUAAUGGAUAAUUACCUCAGUUCAUAUCUCCUGAAAAUCCUUUUUUAAUACUUUUUUAUUAUUAUUAUUGUUUUGGGCUACAAAGUAAUUUGCAUGAUGUUUUUUCUCCUUCCCUAGCUAUCUCUCCCUCUCACCACUGCUCACCUUUAUAAACUGAUUUCUGCCUUCUUCCUGGGCUACAAAAUGACAGCGCUUACUAUCUGUCCAGUCGUCUGUUCCUGUUUAGCCAGUAAGUGGAACAUUUCCUAUGACUUUCUUCAGAUAAUGAUCCUCUUUUUCCACAUCUAGGGGGCCUCUAUUGUAUAUAAUCUCUGCAAGAUAAGAGCUUAAUAAAUAACUCUUUUUUAUAGUAUUUUUUUUUUUUAAUUCUGUACGUCUAGAACACCUGCUCUGCUGCUGCUUGUAGAUUUUUAGGUAAUUUGACUUUAAUUUUUAUAUAAAGAGGAGAUAUGAAACUUCCUCCUGACAUAAUUAGAAAACUAAAAUGUAAGUUUGCUCGCUGAAAACUAUAUCUUGGAGUUCUUUUGCAAUACAAGUUAAUUAACUGGAUUUAGAUAUUUGCAAGACGAUAUAUUUAAUGGGAUUACUGCUCAUAUAAUGUUCUCAGUGACUGAUUUGGAAUCUAAGCUCAGGGAACAGAAUACCGAAUUUCCAGCUCUUUGAGAGUUAAUGUUGUGUUAAGGAAAAGUACAAUUUGAACCUCAUUGUUCAUGAAUAGCGAAGUUAUUCCGGUGAAAUGGAGCCGGUGCCUACAAGGGCUACACGAGGCAGAUGCAUGAGCGGGAGCGCAGACAGCGGCAUUCCUGCGAGCGCUCGGCUACAGAUAUCCCCGCACCUGAACUCCUGGCAAGUUCAAGGCAAUUGCGUAUCUCAUCACAACAUAAUGGCCCUUUAUUCAGCCCCCGUCUCCCAAGUGGGAUCAAUUAGAUGCUUUGGUCUGCAGGCUUGAGAAUAAACAUUUGUGUUUUCGUUUAUAUUUAGAGUGAAAAUGAAGACGCGUGGCCACAGCCGUUCUGCCCGCGUCCGUCGUGUUUUGAAACAAAGGUUUAAUCAGCUCUUUCAAAAUAUUGAUUGCCUUUUUAAUAGGAAAAGGUAGAAAGUUAAAUGACAGCAAGCUCUGGGGAAAAAUGCAAUAGCCCUGCACAGAACAUUUCAGUGCGCCAAUAAAUCUCGCAUUAGCGUCUAUCUUCUCAUUAAGGCAAAUAUAUUUCUAUGUGUCAAUUUGGUUCACUACAAUGUUAGAGUUUCACUCCUAACACAGGAUUUCUCUAAUGAAUAUGGUAAUUUAAAUCUUAUGAUCAGAGUACUACUUUUAUAGAAAUUUGAACAUUUUUUUGUUUAAAUGCUAUUAACCGUUUCAAUAUUAGCUCAGUCAAAUAGCUAUUAGAUGGGGAAAUUUAUAUUCUCACUAUAAGGAAUGGAUGUGUAAUUCUACAGUGCUUCUACAUUCUAACACUUUUUUAAAGUACUUGACAAGUAGAAUGGUGAUUCGUGUUUAACGUGUUCGAUUUUAAAAUUUAACCAGCAUUCUAAAGCUCUGGUGAGUUCAAAUGCCUUAACAUUUUUAUUUAUGAUUGUAAUUUUAUUUUUAAGCAUUGAUAAAGUGAAGUCUUAAAAAUCUAACUGGAUAAGAACAUUUAGAUGACAGUGGUUCACCAGGACACAAGUGGGAAAGGGAAAGAAAAUCCCAUGGAGAGAAGGAAACUCUUAUAUACCUGCAUGCAUCUUCCUAAGAUAUGACACAAAAUACUACUGAAGUGAUACUUGCCUUGUUUUGAUCUUGAUUUGGGGGGGAGGUUGUUUGGUUUUGAAUGACCUGUCAAACUGAGAGUUGUGCCAAGGCAACCUUGGCAUCUGAUGUUUUACAUGGCUGCUACGUUACAAGUAUUCCAUUCCAAGUAUUUUAGUCCUUGAAUAAAUUGCUCUUAUUAAGCUAAUUUUGGAUCCAUUCUGUUUAUGAAUGCAUAAAAAUAUUCCUGACUGUUUUCCAGGCUUUUCAAGACAACUAUGAGAUGUACCCUAUGAUGUGAGCAAUCACUAAACAGACUACAACAGAUUAAUAGUUCACAGAAACCUCUUAAAACAUCCUAAGCUCAUAAAUUUGUAAAGAGUUUGUGAUCUUGAGUUAUUAUAUUCUAUGAUUUUCCAGCAAAGGAAUUUGAAUCGUGCCUUUAUAUUCCUGUCCUGUAGCAAAAUAUGCUUGUUUCCAGCCAGGGCUUUCACUGAUGUAAACACAGAUACUGGUGUUCCUGGAUUGAACAGCAAUGCAACCCUACGAGGGGGAAUUCCAUAGCUGAGAGAGAGCUUUUUUUUCUCAGUAUGUGUCAUGGAAAAGAAAAACACGAUCAUUUAACAACUUUCUUCCAAGCAUGAGCGCGUCUUUGAGUUUACAAAGUCAGGUUUUUGUGAUGAAGAGCUUUCAUUCAUAGGUAUUUCUUUAAAAAAAAAAAAAAUACAACCAGUUGUGGAACUAGCAAGAUGAUGGUUAUGAGUGCACAGCAAUAUCCCAUGUCCAGGAACUGCAUCUGCAGCAUCAGAGUGCAGGAUGAAGAGCAUUUCAGGAAGGUAGGAUUCAAUGAACCCACGGCAGUUUGUCAGGAACUCUACAACAAGUAGUCCCAGUGCUUUUCUUUCAUAUUGAAUACAUGGAAUUAGUGCUCUUAGUGCACAGAGAGAGCAGGAAGAUAACAAACUACUGCUUGGACAAAGCAGAUUUGACCUACAUAUAGGAGUGGACGCAGCCAGGGGUGGAGCUUCUGAUUGAAUGGUGUUGGCAUCAGUUGUGGUUGGGAAUUUUGCAAACAGUUACAACAGCAGUGAAGAACUUAUUACAAAUAAGUCCCGUAAGUCUGGAUAUUCUGCUGUUCACGAGAAAUAUAAAAUGAGUGCAGACUGGUGGAACUUAGAUGAAACCAUGCCCAAGACAUAAGAACACACCGUCUGUCAGAACGGAAGUACUUUACAAGUCAAGCGUUGCCAGCCAGAACAUCUGAAAAUGUUUUGACAGUAUCAGAAUGUAUCUUUUGGAAUGAACUGAUAAUGCUGUUUUGUCUUCCAAUCCAACUUUUUUUUUCUCUCAGCUUUCUGUUUUACUGAAAGAAUAAGUGGAACUGAAGCUAAGGGUGGCAGAACACGUGUGUAAAUUAGAUUAAUUUUUCUCCUAGUUGCAGAAAGCAGAAUAGUUUCUAGUUUAUCUUGACAGAUGCAUUUCACAACUAUCUUCUAUCUUAUGCCUUCAAUCCAGAGAGAGGUGAGAAAAAUACAGUGCUGUCCUAUUGAAAAGGCAAUAUCUAAAACUACUCAGCAGUUUGUUGCUGCAUUAGUCCAAGAAUAAUUUAAUUCUGUACUAACAGCAAUUUAGAAAGCACGAAAACGAAGCUAGAACAUUUCUAAACUCAUUGUUCGCUACACACGUUGAUUAACAGUGCUCUGCAGGAAUUAAUUGAUCCAAGGGCAGGAUCUGGCACUACGGCAGCAACGCUCUUCUUGCAGUGCUCAUAUGAGGUGACUGCACUCACAGCUCCUCAGACUGUGCUACGAAUUGUUUUUCAAACACAUCAUCUGUCCUUGCAGAGAGCCGCUGGAGAUCCUCAGACCAGGCCUGAGCACAGCUAGGUAUUGGCUGUUUCAAUUACAGCUCAAAUACAUCACGCAGAUGGAGGAGUGCAUUGGGCAUGCAUUUGGCAUCCCAGGGCAGAUGGCUUUUCCCAAAAUGAGAGCCUGUGGAAAGCUGUUUUCAUCUUCCCAAGCUUCUGGCCUGAUGGACUUCAGCACAAAUGCGUUUCCAAAUAAUGAAUCUGCAGUUCACUUUCUGGCCGAGGUGAACGAGCACACGUUAACUCAUUCAGAAAGGAGAUGAAAAGCUCACAUUCAGGAUGCAUUAAUCUGAAAACAAGUGUACUUUUGUGUCUGGGGAGUAUUAUUUUCAUUGCCAUCAAUUUAGAACAUAGAUAGACUGUGAUUCUAGCUUCACUAUCAGGUUGCCCCACAGGCUGAGACCCCUCACCAGGCCAUUCUAUUUAAUUUAGACUAAUCUAAAGCUGAGUGAAACUUUGUACCCUCUCUGAUUUCUCCCUAUAAUCAGGAACACUCUGAUUUCCCCUUCCCCCAUGACCCAGUCUGAGUGGCUGGGAGAUGGGGGAGAGGUACUCAGGAAAGCGACCUCCAGGUAAAGGCAGCAGCUAUUUGUGCCAGCCUGUCUGCUUGCCUAAUAACAGGUGGCAAACAUGUCCAACCAUAUCAUCCCUAGCUCUUGUUCUGUUUGAAUUUCUCUUUACUUUACACACAAUUCUUGGGAAGGCGUAAUCCUUUACACUUUUGCAUGUGAGUUUUUCAAGGCAUUGCACAUGUCAGCGGAGAUAAAUCUCCCAUGGAAGAGGCUGAAAUCCUAAUGCUGUUCUUCCACCAUUAUGCUCCUAGGUUUGGGUGGAAUUUGAUGGGGCAGAGGUUGUGCCCUAUAGUUUUAAUGUUGGGGUGUUUUUGGUCAGUGUUGUUUUGUCUGUGUUAAGAGGCAUCGAUAUGCACAAGAGAAUCUGUUUUGGACAGUAUCCAAGGUCAAAAAGGAUUCAGCAGCUUUGGCAAAAUGUUCCCUUCUGUCUGUGGUUUACAGAUUCAUCCAUAUGUGAGAUCUUAAAGAAGUAUCUUUCACUCUCUGUUGCUAUCAUCUCUGAUAAUUAGACUUGGCUUUGCUGCUUUCUCUCUCUCCCCAUCUUUCUUUUGUUUUAAACACCACAUGACUGCUUUCAGUGGAUAAGGCAAGUGGAGAAGAAAAGGAUCCAGUAGUGGCCCUCAACUGGCAGGCACUCAGCAAGCAAAUCAGCAGGUUCCCCUGCUAAAGAACCAUGCUGACAUCUAGUUAAUGUUCUUAUUUGCUAAAGUAAUGAGACUCAACCUGCCUGUGACUCUCAAUCUUUUACAAACCAAAAUUUGUAGUCUUUGCUCAUAGGCAAGAAAAAAAAUGAUCUGCAGUAGCCCCAAGUUUAAAUCAGCAAAUUUGUUUCGUAAACAGCAGAAGUACCCGGGGUGCAGUUCUCUGGGGGGAGCUCAGGUGCGAUGGGCUCUUCCAGUCCACUCCUCUUCUGGCAGUUGUUCAGUUUGUCGCAUACCUAAAUAUGCCAAGUGUAACCCACAGCAGGAGGGGGUUGUCAGAGGACAAAUAUAAUUUUUAUUCUCCUCUCUGAUGUAACUGUGGGUCAGUCAUCUCGUGGUCCUCACAGAUGAUUGGUUCACUGGUAUUAUUUAUCUCAUUUUGGUCCAACAACAGAGACCAUAGACACUCAUAACUUCCCCUUGAAGCAACCAUUCUACUAAUUAAAAUGAAAAGCGCCUGAUUCUGUUUCUCCUAAAAAUAUAAUUCUUUUUCUGAUUAGAGAUGCAAUUUAAAAAAAAAAAAAAAAGGCAAAAAUGGGUAUCUUAUUUUUGUCUGUUGGCUCACAAAACCUGCAUGAACACGAGUUUUAUGUGUGUGAAACUGCCAAAUUGGAGCCAGGGUAGAAACUCUCAAGGGUCUGAAUGUUGAGCAAAAGAGAUAGAUGAAACAGCUGAGUUACUGAACUGAGAAACAUAUGUGCUGUACUUACACAUUUACCAGCGCUCUAAAGAUUUUCUGAUAUGUGGCUGCUCUCUUGAAAAUUAUUUACAUGGCAUUCUGGAGUUGUUCCCACAGAUAUGAUUCCAUUUUGAUCUGCCAAUUACAUUAUGUGCUGUUGCAAAGAAGUUUGUAAAUGAGUCUUUGUUCCUUAGAUGGAAAGCGUUUUGAAGGAGUUCUACCAGCCUGAUGGCAAAUCAUGAACGUCAAAAAUGAGGCUGUCUAAAAAUACAUUAGAGGUUGAUGUAAACAUUGCUGGUAUCAGAGGAGAUGGUUACCAUCAACUUUUGGGAAUGCUGAAUCUGAUGUCCCUUUACAAACACCGAGUUGCUCGGGACAGACCUCCUCCUUCAUGAUGCCCAUGGAAAUCACUGCAGAUUUGACAGCUCUGGCUCCUGGUAACUCCUGUGGGCUCCUCGAGUCCAUAGCAAGGACAGCUGCCCAAAGCCAAGGUUCACCCUCAUGGGAGGUGGGUACAGAAAAAAAGUCUGCUGUUCAGCUGGACCAGGAAGAGAAGUGGAGAAGUUUUCAGUGGCAUUUUCAGAGGUGUUUCACAGCCAGGAGUGUUACAGGAGUGGAAGACCUUGUGCUUUUGAUAAGUCUGUGCCACAGUGGGAUUCUGGCAUCCCUUAGAUGAGACAAGCUUCGAAGGACAUUGCUAACCUCCAUUAGAAGUGUUUAAUUCGUUCCCCCAUUACCUUCCAAAAAGAAUACUACAUAUGGAAGAUGAUGUUCCACUUUCUAAAAGAUUUCCUCUUCUGAUGCUGGUUGAGAAGUGUGUAACUAUGGACAGCACCUUCGGACUGUGAAGUGGUUCUUGCACCUGCUCUUUGCUUUGUUUUUGGAGUAGCCACGGGGGACCAAGGAGCAGAGCUCUUCCCUCCGUUCCCUCUGUGUUAUUCCAUCAUCUCCUGUAAUUUUGCUGUCAGCAUUUGUUCUGCCACACAACAGCCUGUGACUGUCCUGCAGACCUCAGGGGAGCAUCCCUGGUACCCACAGCUUUUUUCCCGUCUGCUGGCAAAUUAUAGCAUGGUGCUUGCUCUGAAAAGUUAUAUGACUGGGAUUAUACAUUUACAGUUCCCCAAGCUGUACACCGUGUGAUUAAUAGAAUUAUUUACUUAUUUACUAUGAUGAAAUGCACUGCAAUAUGUUUGCAAGACGGACCAGAUCCAAAACCCACUGAAGACGCCCAUGAGCCCUGAGGAAUCACAUUGCCUUGCAGCCACUGUACAGCCAUGAAAACCAGCUGAAAACAAAACCGAGCCUCUUCGGAGAAAGCCCCACAAGUGACCUCUUCAGCAAAGUGGACAAAGAUUUACAUUGGCUUCUCUUCUCCCCGGCUAUCACUUACACUACAUGCACACUGUUGUUCCUCCUGCCUGUGCCAUUGUACUUCCCUUCUAACCUGUUUUCAACCUGCAAAGGCUUUUGCAAGGAAGUCAGCACACAGCAAUGGGAUAGAGACGUUCCUGCUCAGCACUGGAACUUCUGGAGAUGAUAAACACAAGCAACUCAUCCCCAGCUCCAUCCUGAGCACCUUCAGCAUUGCCACUCAGCACCUCAAAAUUGUGUGCGUCCAAUGCCAACUGUCCACCAUGGCAAAGGAACAAGACAUUUGCUCCAAGUUUCAGUGUUAAUAAAGAAGGUGAAUCUUUCACACCAGUGGUUGCAGAUGUCAUGCACUUGCCUCCUGCUAUUUGGAUCCACUGUGCUGCAGAGAGUGAACCAGGCAAACCCACCUGUAGAGGAGGGCAGGGAAAGUGAAAUCCCGAGCACCAAGCAGAGUCUUGCUGGAGACCACCGAGGAGACACAGCAUCAGCAAUUGCUGACAAAGCCCAUUGCACCAUCAGAACCAAGCCAAGGAUGAAAGAACGUGACACCAAUCUGUAUUUCCAGCAACCUUUGUUGGAAAGGUGGUCUGCACUCAUGAAUACUGUUGUUAUACCUACAGCCCCCAAAGAGCAACCUACUUGAGCUGUGACAGAGCUGCUCAUAUAACCAAGGGUAUAUGGUUAUGUAGCCUGUCUGGGGAUGUAAGCACAUUUACCUGUAGACUAAAGGAGAUGACCGAAUCCUUGUAAAUGAGCACAAAACAUCGCGAUGCCUAUGCCUUCAAACACCAAAGGAUGAGCAUGAACAGUGUCUCUAGAGCCACUCCAGACUCUAGACACUCAGCACUAGGUGUCCUGUGCUGAGAUACGACUACUGCUACUGACCACAGCUCACGUGCACGUGUCACAGGACCAGUCAAGGUCGUAAACUUAAGCAUAUUUAUAUCUCUUGGUAGGAACACAGCUGUAAUUAUAUUUUGGGUGUUUCUUGCCUUCUUCAAUUGCUGCCAGUGCUGCUUGUUUGCUACAGCGUAACCCGUGGCAUAUUUUAUAGGUUUUCAACCUUUGCACACAAUGGAUUAGAAAGAAAGUCAAUUAUGCAUAAGAUUGAAAGAGUUAUGUAAAUAUAAAACCAAUAUAAUGUAUUAUUUACAUACAGCCUGUACUUACCCUAAGUAACUUCUGCAGAAACCUGGGCUAUCACAAACAGCUCACACCUAAUUUCUGAGCCCUAUUCCAGAAAAGAGGGGAGGAUUCUGGCUACCUUAAAUCAGUGCUAAUAUUUUCUAGAUGAGAGCAUAUUUGUAUAAGAACAUAACUCAACAUAACACGGAUGGACAACAAGCAGGAUAAAUCUCUAUCAUUUAUUACAUUUGCUGAGCGAUCAAAGGUGUCUAACUAGACAUUUUUCCUCAUUGGUUGUUUGCAUUAGAUAUGCAAAUCUCCUUUCUUGCAGAGCCAUUUCUGAAUAUAUUUGCGAGGCUAUUGAUGUCCAUUACUUCACUUAAAUAUAGAUCAGAAAUACUGACAAAUAUUUUCAUUCAAAGAGUUUGAUCAUUUUCAGAUUACUCUCCAUGCUAGUAAUUAACCUCAGUCAACACCCUUCCAUAGCACUUUCAAACACAGUUCCUAGCAAACAUAAAGUUUCAUAAAUAUGUACUAAAUAACCUUAAAGCCCUUUAUGAAUAAUUAUGAGUUUUUAAGUUUUUGUGAAUCUGCAUAUUAAUUCCACGCCAUAAAUAAUACAUGAAGCAAAAAUCCAGCUUGUUUGGUGUCUGGGGACAGAGAAAGAAAAGGAGGGGAUAAUUAUCAGUUUAAUGUGGGAAAAUACUUAACCUAAAAGAUUAUCUUCAAAACUGAUGACUCUAUAGGUUUGUAUAUACGUGUGUGUAUAAAUACAUAUAAGUAUAUAAAAUAUACGUGUAUGAAGAUAGGUUUGUCUGCAGAUACGCAUCCAGCCUGAGAAAGCCUUAAUUUGAGGCAUGUUACAUUCCUGUCUCCUCUGUGCCAUGCUGAGCUCUUCAAGUGCAAAGCGAUGCGAUGAGCUCAGCCUCCACACAACCCUUCUUUCUAUAAACGUAUGUUCCCCCAAAGGUAGAAAAUUAAUGAGAGGCUGCUGACUAAAAUUACUACAUUUUGCCUUCUGUGGGACAUUAUGGAUUUAAAAGAUAAGCAAGAGUGCAGCAAGUCCAAAAACAAUUUCAUUUCGUUAAUCCUUUAAGUGCCUCGGGAUGAGCAGCACAUGUCCAGCAAAGGUGAUGCUUCUGCAUGCCUAUUGCACAGCAGUACUUGCACACUCUGCUUCUCGGCUCCACAUGGAAGGCAUCCAGUGGGGUGGGAUGAUGUAUGGCUGAAUGGUCUUAGGCUGACACUUCCUGGAUGCUCGCUGACAGUAAUAGGAAACGUAAGCGGUGUGCAGAGACAGCUCGUAGGUAAAGCAGGGAGUGUGAAUAGGAUUUUUCCUCUUUAUUCCGUACAGCUUACAGCAAAGAAAAGGCAUUUUCUGCUCAAAUGUCUUUGAACAAAACAAAGUGGAAACUAUUAUGUUUCAAAACCAGGACCCGGGAACAUAUUCCAUGUUUGCCUUUGUCAAAAGAGUACAACGAUUUAUAGUUUGGGAAGAAAAUCAUUGCAUUCCAAUUUUAUAUUUUUCAAUAAGGGACUCCAUUUAUUUUUUACAUAUUAAUCCACCUCCAUAAUGAAAAUAGAUUUCACUUCUCAUUUCAAGUCCUUCAGAUCUAUUUCACUUCCCGGUCAUGCUCAGCGCUUGGCUAGGAGAAUGAAAGGCAGUAUUUCAAAUAAUAGCAACUCAAUAGCAAGCCUGUUCUCUCGGUUUUAAUGCAGAAAGAAGAAAAGAUAAACCAAAUUUGUACAAGAAUCUUCAGAGAUAGGAGCACUCCCUUGUUCUGACGCCAUUUCCCAGCCCUGCAGCAUCAGGAGAGCAGUGCUGUUGGUGCGGGGGUGCUGCCGGGAGCAGGGUGAGGGGAUGGGGAAAGGAUCCCACAGAAGCGGCUGAAUCCAAAGCUCAACUUAAAACUGCUCAGAAAGAUUCCAGGAGGGGGUGAGGGGCUGCUGGAGGUGCCGGCAGCACUGUCUCGUCACGGCAGCCUGCUAAUUAACCGUGAUGGGUUUUAAAGCCUCAGCUGGAAGCAGCUUCUGGAGAAACGGAUGGAGCACCCAGGUUUGUUUUGUAUCCAAAAAGGGGGACACAGAGUUGAAAAGAAUUGUUGUAAAGGCCUGCAUCAGUGUUAUUCUGCAUCCGUCUGCUUUGCGUACCGUUUGCUAGGAAUUUAUAAAGUAACAUACAUUCAGUAUGAAGGAAAAAAAAAACAAACAACAGAUCUUUAAAAUAUUGAACUGUGGCUGCUGUGCCUCGUGGAAAGGUACAGGCUUCUCGUCCGGGAGUUGCAUUGUGUGGAUGCAAACCUGUUGAUGAGUGGUUUAAGCUAAUUCUCAUUUAUACUGGACUCAUAAAUCCAUAAACUUCGGUAAGAACUCAGCUGCAGCCGAUGUUAUUGGUUGAACUGUUUUCAUCUGAAGCCCAUUCUGAAUCCCCAACAAAAAUAGUAGGCCAGAUGCCCAGACAGCAGCUAGAGACCCUCAUUAGGCAUCAUUUGCAUCCUAUUAACCACUGAGCUGUGGGUCAUUCGCUGCCUGUCAACCAUUCAAGUCAUUCCUUUUGUGUUAAUUAGUAGAGAAAUAAGGAGUUAAUGAAGAUCUUAUGAUCUGUGAUGAUUCAUCUUUGUUGUUUCAAACGAAUCCCUGCUCUCCGAGCACCCCAAUGAGCUCCUGCACACCAAAUAAUAGAGGAAUAGUGGAGGGAGCUUAGGGCGGCCUUUGGAGUGCCAUUCUCUGGGGACCUUUUGCAUGGUGGGCUUUGUUAGCUAAAGAUUAGAAGGAGUUAAUUGCUUCAAGAUUGCUCGCAGAUUAGGUUACAUGGUGUGUUGUAUCUAUGUAAGCAUAUGUCAGGUCUAGUUAAAAGAUAGAAGAUGCUUAUUUUAAUAAAAUUAUGAAAGGAAGAAUUAAUUUGUCAUUAUUGUAGAAAUCUUAUUUCUACCCUUAAUUUGAGCACUUUCAGAUAAAUGCAGGGCUGGUUUCCGUCUCAUUUUCCUGCUCCAAAUGGGAACGCUGGGCAGGAGGGCUCCCAGGCUGGGUCCCAGUUUUCCUGCCCAUUCUGGGGACAGCACAGCAUGGCUGUGGAAAGACACAGAUGGAAAACCCAAAUCAACAGACAAGCAGUAAGAGCAGCUCUUCUUCUUCAGGAAUUUUCUUUAGGAAGAAAUGAUUCCUCUUUUCACACUAGUUCUGGUGAAGGCAUUCUCACAGCCAGCAAGCUGACAACAAAGUUCCACAACAGCGGUGAUGAAAUGCACAGACCUUCAUGGCCUGGCUAUAUAAGAAGACACCAGAAGUGAAAUAUACUUGGCUGUAGACCAUAGUAGGUUGAGAAGGAGCACCUUCUUGCUGUAGAGGGUUGCUGCUCUUCUUACCAUGGUGGCAAUAACCUCCAGAGAGCUGAGCUCCAGCAGUUGGCCUGCUGAGGAGAGUCUGUGUAACCACUGCUCCUCCUCCACCUCCUCGCUGGAUUUAUGAAUGGCGCCAAGUUCUCCUGAGAAGCCAACGCCUUCCUUUUAUUAAAAGUAAAGAAACAAAAGAAUCUCCAAACUGAAAUUAAUUAUUCAGAUUUGCCAAAUAUUGGGAAGGUUUUUUAUUUAGGCUUUUUUUUUUUUCUUCUGCCUGUACAUCUAUUGGAUGGAAAAUUAAAAAAAAAUUAAUUAUUCAGCUCUGUACUGAAGUGUCAGUGAAUGCUGAGGUGGUUCAGCAAGGAAGAACGGCCUAAAAGAGAGGUAAGGAUCUGUGCAAAGUGUUUGGGAGAAAUCCUGAAAAACUGUUUGUGAUUCACAUCUCCCAGGUGGUAAACAGAAGCUCAGUGCACCCCCUUGGCUUGUACAGAGGUUUUGCACUGCCCAGCUGGACAGUGAGGAUGGAGGAGAUGCUGUGAUGGGGUGCCGGGAUGCUGUGCAGGACGCCGGGCAUCGUGCAAAGCUGUGGCAGUGCUGGUGCUGGGAUCCUGCUGUCACCUAUAAGGAGGAGGAGUGCAGCCAGCGCUUUUCCAGGCAGAACCACAUGGCCAGUGACAGAAGGAUCGUUGUAGCAUUUACUGAAUAACUGCUUGGAUGAUUCAUUACAUUAAAAUCCCUCUCCACUUUAAUUGCUCUAAAUGAAGAUACAGUUCACGCUGUUUGGAUGUUAAAGGGAAAACACCCUACCCUGCCACAGUGCGUGUGCACCGGAGGAAAAAUGAGAGACCAGCACAAGAGGUGAGGAAAGAGAUGUGACUGUGACUGUGUGGCUUCAGAGACGGAAUGGGGAUGUAAUUGGAGGCACUGCAGAGCAACAGGGAGAUGGGCUGUGAGCAGAGCCCCAGCCUGCACUGCUCAGGUCCCAUUCAAAAAGCAUCACGACUAAGGAACUGCAGGCAGGAUCACUCCUCAAGCAUCUCCUUAAGCCCAUCCCAGGUUUCAGUGGUAGCAUUGGCAGCCAUAGGGUUGUUUUUUUUUUUUCAACAUCAAUCAGAAGACAGAUUUUUCAUGGGGGCAGAAGGGGGGGGACAAGAUAGAGAGAGAGAAGAGGAAAAAAAAUAAGCAGAAGUAAUUUAUUCGGGAUCUUUGAGAGGAUAAUAGCCAAUUAUUUGUUUAUAACACUGGUUAAAUUUUCAUUAGGCAGAUUAAUGGAAUAUCAUGUACUGUCAACAUUGGACUGAGGGGUGGUCUGUAAGAGAUAAACGGGCAAACAGUCGGUGUGUCUCCCUGAGUAAAUUAGUUUUUGCUUUCCUGUUUUUCAUAUGAAAAUGGAAAGGUGGACAAGGUGGUGCAUUUUAAAACAGGUCUCAAGAUGGGCCAAAUCAGUUAAAUAUGAAAGCAAUUCUGGUAAUAAAUACAUUAUAAUAACUUAGCAUCGUGCCUAUCAUUUUGAUUUCAUGAAAGUCUGGGAUAAUGUAGAUUUUUAACCUGCUCUCUUAAUACACAUUUCCUCUUCCUGAACUUCAGCGUUUCUUGCUGUGAGGUGAAAGCAUAUUACUUUUUUUUGCCUGAUUUUCCUGUGUAAUCUGUUCGGUAUUACAGCUGGUAAGUGCUAGAGGCUCACAGCUCUUUCUUGUGAAUUCUGGUAUUAUCAUCCUGGAUAGCAUGAACAGUCCCCUCUAAGUACUGUAUUAUCAGCAUCAGAACCCCUGAGUGGUUAUGGUUGCAUAUCGUGCUCUUUUGAAGUCAGAAUAUUUCUACAACACUAAACAUAUUAGCCUGGGAUUUUCAGACAAGCCACAGAGAGGCAGACACCCAAAUUUCAGCUGGAGUUGGGCCCAGACAUCCACUUAACCUCUUUGAAAAUCUCAAGUCCUUUUGCCCAAGAGGCCAAGUGGAUGUCUCCUCAGCCUCACCACCAGCAGUGGCACGGCCCAGGCAGGUGGGAAGAAGUCUUCCCCAGCAAGCCCAGGGCUCUGUGGGACACUGUGAAGUGUGGAGAGCCCAAAUGCAUUCCAUCCAGGCUUGGCCAUUAAUGAUUACAGAGCACUAAAAAGGCCUCUUGCUAUGGGGAAUGGAAAAAACAUUUAUUUCUGAUGAUAGAUGACUAUGGCAGUGCCAGGAUGGAGUCUGCUUGCGGUCAAGUUGGGGAAAUUUGCUCUUUUUGGUCCCAAGUCAGCUUGGUUUUGAGGCUGAAAAAUGCUUCCAAGUGUAAAAUUCAUUCUUACACUUCUCUAUCCAUCUCUACAAAAAAAAAAAAUGACCUGACAUUUUGUUUGUGAAAUCCCUAGGUACAUACACAGUGCUAAUAAAUAUUCUUAGGCAUGAUAUGGGGAUGACUCACAUGUACAUGUUACCCUGACCUCAUCAGAACAUCUGUAAAGGAAACAUAGCUGAGCAUUAAGUAACAGUUCAUGGCACUGGUCUGAAACAGUGCUGCUUGGCUUUGUUGUUUCAGCCUUUUUCAAAAUCCUCCUCUCAUACAUUUGUAGACCUACCCUUGGAAGUCAGUGUUCACCAUUUCCACUAGCCAACAGUGCACUCUUCUGCUGCUGCAGAACAUGGUACUUUGCCAAGUGCCAGUAUUGGCACAGGCUGCUCAGGGAAGUGUUCCAUCCCUGGAAGUGUUCAAGAGCUGUGGAGAUGAGGGAUGUGGUCAGUGGGCAUGGUGGGAGUGGGCUGGUGGUGGUUGGACUUCUGUAUGAGCUUAGAGGUCUUUUCUAACCUAAUGAUUCUGUAAUCCUAUCGUAUGAUAGAUUUUUUUUUUUCCCAAGAAAGAGAUGUUAAUUAACACAUAGAAGGUGUUUCUGGUCUAUAAACAACUUGUAAAUUAUUGAUGACUUUAACUUUGUUUAAUUCUCCUCCUGAAAGUAUACCAGUCCUGUUUUCAAAGCAACCAGGAGUUCAGUUGCUGAGAAUCAUAGGUGGGGCUUUGCUUGCUGUACGGACACAGUCACCCAGUCCUGCAGGGAACUCUGACGUACAGGAAUGGUUUUCACUUUGAAUGGGGACAAAGUUCAAAGCUGUGACAUUGGAAUUUCAUUUUAAAAAUGUUUUGUUUUUAGGACUGCAAAAUGGCCACUUUAAAAUAUUCCACUUUGAUCAUGCCAGAAUGUUAUAAGAAAAGCAGACAUAUUUUAAAUCGUACACACAUAUUUUAAAUUGUACGGUUAAAGAUGAAAUGGUCUGAAGAAAUUGAACUGAAGCAAAAUAAAACCAGAGUUCUUAGUGAAACAUUCCCCAUGAAUUUGAGCCUGUUUUUAUCAAACUAAAUUUUUUAAAAAUCUCAGUUUUGAUGGAAAAGCAUUUUAUGAUUGGAAAGCCCCUCUGAAAAAAGUCAGUAAAAGUUAUUGGAUCAUUGGGUUCACCAUGCUGAAAAACACUUACACACUACAGAGAAGGUUUUUUUCUGAUAUAACCACACUCAGUACUAGAAUCCAUUCAUUUCAAGGAUUCUUAUAUCCCUUUAAUUACAUCUGCGUAAAGGCAGCAUAAAUGAGAUCAAAACAAAUCGCUGGCAGUAAUGAUCUAUGAACUAUGCUGAAUGCUGUCCUGAAGUACAUCAUUGUCUAUUUUUAUUCUAUUGUUUUUUAUUUUGAGUUGUUGCAGUGGUGCAGGAUCUGUGCUGGCAUCUCCAAGGAGUUAGAAUGUCUGCUAGCAAAGUUACGGACGUCUGUAAUGGAUGGGAUUAUCUCUACUACUCAUCAGCGCAGAAAGAAUAGCACUAAUAACGCAAGUAAAUUCUCAUCUUGCAGAUGUUUUUCUGUUUCAUCUUGGAAGUGAAUCUGUUCACUCAUAAAUCUUGCUUUGCCUU
ensembl:lncRNA